GGGAGGAAGUAGUGAGGACUAGCCGAUACCUUGUUGGAAUCGGCAGCUGGGGAGAAAACCUGUACAGAUCACCUGAUCACAUCAAUGAGGAUGGAGGAGGACCGGAGUCAAAUGACUGAGAGGAUACUACACCUCACCCUGGAGAUCAUCUACCUGCUGACCGGAGAGAGGUUUUCUAUACCGAAGUUUGGAGACCAUAUGACCAUCACAGUGCCUCCAUGUGACUCCCUAAAACCUGAGAGACACAACAUGCAGAAGAUUCUAGAAGUCA